GUCUUCCAAUACGUCUCUCUUUCUGUCCGGACUGAAAUUUUGACCUGUCCUUCUGGCUUUUCCUCAUGAAUGUCUUGCCAGCAGCUCAAAUCUAGUCUAGACUGGGCUUUUUUUUAUAGUUAAUGGGGGAAACAAAAAAGAACUUUCAGGCAUGAUUCACCUCAUUCUGAUGUAGAUACCUAAAAUAAGUCAGAUGAGUCGCAGCCUGCGAGUUCCUGUUUCUACCACAGACCAUCCAGGAAGUCUAGAUGACAGGUAGGGAAAUCCACACUGUCGACGUCUACAUUUGUAGGAGAUAAAUCCCAGCUGGUGUGAUCCAGGUUACAAAUCAACCUCUGCGAUGCUGCUCAGAUGUUUGCAGGACUUUUGGUUUUACUUUAGGGGCCUGGUGGAAGACUGAAGCUCAAAACCUUAGUAGCAUGAAUGGCUACCAAAGGCCCUCACAGAGCAGCUUCUCCAAGGCCAAAGCGGAAGAGACAGAGACCAAGGACUCCAUGUUCCUCGCUUAUGAUCAUUAAUAGUGUGCAUGAUGAGUACCAUGGAGAAAGGAUCAUCUCUUUCCGUGUUUUCAUUCCACUAUGACCAGGGCUGUCAAAAGCAUAGGUGAAAGAAGAGGGGGAGGAAAAUACCAAGGAAGGUGGCUGGAUGGGUACGUGAGCCAGGAGGGUCCUCUGGGAGAAACUAGUGUCAGACUGCGCUCUAUGAAGGAGAUCUCUCAGGCGUUCUGGUUGAUACACCUGCAGCUGCCAGAGAGCUGAAACACCAGGUUCGUGAGAAGACAUUCCUCAUGGAUAUCUCAUACUCA
rnacentral:lncRNA from 1 species